CGCGUAGGCGGCCAUCUAAGUCAGACGUGAAAUCCCUCGGCUCAACCGAGGAACUGCGUCUGAUACUGGAAGGCUUGAAUCCGGGAGAGGGAUGUGGAAUUCCAGGUGUAGCGGUGAAAUGCGUAGAUAUCUGGAGGAACACCGGUGGCGAAGGCGGCAUCCUGGACCGGUAUUGACGCUGAGGCGCGAAAGCUAGGGAGCAAACG
rnacentral:rRNA from 1 species